UUUCAGAAUUUUUGCUUGGUUUACCAUAUUACCAUUUUAAAUAUAGUUUUAGAGAGUUGACCAAAAAAAAUAGAAAACAAUAUAGUACUUAGGAGCAAGGAAUUAGAAUGGUAAAUGGGGUUCCAACAGAGCAAACGUCACACAUAAACAUCAUUACAGAUAUAAUAUAAUCAGCUAGCAAAUCUUCCCAAAACAAAGAAUCUAAUUCAAGUCAUCAUGAGUUCCUCCGUAAUCGAAGGUGAAAACAAACGAACCUUGUCAAUUAAUAAAUUAGCUUAUAUCUUAAUCUCUUUGGUGAUAUGCACGCAGCUCCACCGAUUCAAACCAUGAACUCCGAGGAAAACAUCAAAGCAAAGACAGAAGAAGUAGUUAACGCCCCAUGUUGUCCAAACUGCGAUUGCACUGGAUCUGAAGAAGGUUCCCCAACAAAAGAUGAUUGUGCUGUCGCAUGUUUGAAAGCUCUUUGUGGGAUUAAUGAUUGAUCAAAUGGAAUCCCUUAAAUCAAAGUGCAUAUGCUAGCACUUUCUCAUGUUUCUUCUCCAAUGUUCCCAUUGCUGUUUCCAUAGUGACAUAUUUGUUGUAAGCUAAUAAGAAUAGGUGCGCGGUUCUAUCUUGCCGGAUUGUAAAGCAUAUGAUUCUUGAUUUGUUUAGGCAGUUUGUCAUCUAAAGAGGAGGUUUUGAGUAGCGAUCGUUGGCCGAGGGCAUCUUCAUUACGUUCUCUCAAAGUAUCUUCUGGAAAGAGGCUGCUUUAAUUUGAUUCCAGUUUGUCGAGUUUAAUUAGUUUCUAUCUUUUUCUUUGUGGGUUUUAUUCUUGUAUCGCUUUAUUCAUUUUGCCUCAUAUUAUUAGUAGUAUGCUUGAGAAAUCUUGUCUUUCUCCGACUAUGGCAAUGUAAUAAUGUGAAUAAAAAUUUGAUGACAAAAAAAAAA